CACUCAUUACAGAGGCUCAGGAGGUCCUGAUGAUAUGUGCCAAAGGUAGUCAGAGCACAGCUUGGUUUUAUACAUUUUAGGGAAACAUGAGACAUAAUCAA